rnacentral:rRNA from 1 species
UACGGGGGGGGCAAGCGUUGUUCGGAAUUACUGGGCGUAAAGGGCUCGUAGGUGGCCAACUAAGUCAGACGUGAAAUCCCUCGGCUUAACCGGGGAACUGCGUCUGAUACUGGAUGGCUUGAGUUUGGGAGAGGGACGCGGAAUUCCAGGUGUAGCGGUGAAAUGCGUAGAUAUUGGGAGGAACACCAGUGGCGAAGGCGGCUCACUGGACCGGUACUGACGCUGAGGCGCGAAAGCGUGGGUAGCAAACAGG